rnacentral:rRNA from 1 species
CUCGUAGGCGGCCAACUAAGUCAGACGUGAAAUCCCUCGGCUUAACCGGGGAACUGCGUCUGAUACUGGAUGGCUUGAGUUCGGGAGAGGGAUGCGGAAUUCCAGGUGUAGCGGUGAAAUGCGUAGAUAUCUGGAGGAACACCGGUGGCGAAGGCGGCAUCCUGGACCGAAACUGACGCUGAUGAGCGAAAGCCAGGGAGCAAACG